GACGAACGCUGGCGGCGUGCCUAAUACAUGCAAGUAGAACGCAGUUGCGAACGGGUGAGUAACGCGUAGGUAACUGCCUCAUAGCGGGGGAUAACUAUUGGAAACGAUAGCUAAUACCGCAUACUGUGAGAUGGACCUGCGUUGUAUUAGCUAGUUGGUGAGGUAAAGGCUCACCAAGGCGACGAUACAUAGCCGACCUGAGAGGGUGAUCAACCCCUCUGGGACUGAGACACGGCCCAGACUCCUACUUGACACAACAUUAAUAAAUCUUCAUCAAUUGACGGAAGUCUGACCUGUCAACGCCGCGGGAGUGAAGAAUAUUUUCGGAUCUUAAAUCUCUGUUGUUAGAGAAGCGGUAACUAACCAGAAAGGGACGGCUAACUACGUGCCAGCAGCCGCGGUAAUAC
rnacentral:rRNA from 1 species